AGAGAUGUUUGCAAGAAAGAGAUGAAUAAUAUGUGGCAACAUGCAGCAUUUAUAAAUUGUAAUUACUCACUCUCUCAUACAUGAUCAUCUAAUUGUUAAUUGAUCAAAACGCGUACAAUAGUUGGUCUCGAGGAUAGAGAAACUGAUCUCAAGAGAAGAGAAAGAAUAAUUAAAAAAGGUACGUACGAAAAUAUGUUGUCAAUAUAAAAAAUUGUGUUUAAAUAUCAUUUAUGUUUUUGAAUAGGUGUAGAACAUGGGGAAAAGAGUUCAUAUUAGUUCACUUUAGGAGCCUUUCAAGACAAUCAAAGACUAUCAUGUGACGUAUCAUCAAAAGCUUGCAAGUCUUUCAUAUUAAAGUUGUCACUCAUCAUCAAGUUUUGCUUCAUUGAAAAAGUUAGUGCAUUGCUAGCAAGAAGAUUAUUAUCAACAUAUAACACAAGUAUUAUAAAAUUGAUCCUCACUAAUUUUUAAGUAAAUGGACAUAUACGAGGUAUUUUUCUGCAAAUCAAGUACCCUUUGACCAUUUCAACAAGUCUUCAAGUUGAACUAUGUAAAUAUCUUCAACAACAUUAUUGGAAUCAAUUAUGUCUUUGGAUUCUUGUUCAUUCAUCGAUGGUGCCUCUAUAUCAUAUUUUGUCAUUCGAACAGUCUAGUCAUAGUUUUGGAAGUGAAAUUUCAUAAAAGGAAUAAUCACCCACCUCGUGGUUAUACCGCUUUCAAUACUUGCAAGUCUAUUUGAUGAAAUUUCCCUUAAACAUCCUUUUAGGCUCUAGCGAUUAUAUCGUCUUUCCUGCUUUCCUAUUAUUAGAUUGAUAUUUUCUUUCGUCGAAGUUUCUUUUAACAUAUUGUGUCAGAAGUAGAAGCAACAAACCAUACACAAUAAUAUUUACCCUUUGUUAUAAAAUUCUCCUUUUGAGUUACUAUAGCAAUCAUCUCAUCUACAUCCCGCUCAACUUUUUAAGUAUUGUAAAAGAUCCUCAUAACAUCGAAUUGAGGAGAUAAAGACUAAAGAAUCCUUCAAAUCAAAGUUCUAUCAUCAAUCUCAAUUUUAAAAGACUUCAACUUAUAACAAAAGUGCAACAUUUUCAUGAUGUGUUGUGCACCCCAACAUCGUCAUAUUAGGUCUUGUCCAAUAAGGAGAGACAUUGACAUUUUUUGGUUUUCUAAAACAUCGUGCAUUUUUCUCCAACCGACUCGAAAUAAUCUUUAGCACAAUCAUUUUGGGAAUACUCUGUUUGAUGAAUUUCUCCAUAGUAAAAGGUAUAAAUUUUAGGAACGUUCUAUUAUAAUGUUUUUAUUUUUCAUGAGAAGUCAUUUGAGACUCAGUGCACACAUUUGUGAGAGCAUCUAACUUUUCAAUUCUUAAAGUCAGAUAAAGAUUGACAAUAGUCAAUUAGAGACCCAUAUGUUCUUUUUAAUCCUUGAAAGUUGGUCUCUAUAAAAUUUGUGUAUCAUAUUUAUCUCUA